GACUAGAGAGAGUGUCGGCGCAGGGGGAAAAAUGUGAAUCUCCUGCAUUUUAUUUAGAAUUCAGAGAGUCGUUACUUUGAGACCAAGAUGCCAUUUGUGUUUCUGUGAUCGAAAGCCUCACACAAAUCCCACCUUUACCACGGUUUGCAGCUCUAGUAACUUGGGAAGGAGCUGCCGUGGUUUCUAGGAGCUGUCAUGGCAAACCUCCGUCUGCAGAACAUCUCUGGGCUCAGCAGCCUGUUGCAUCGGGGGCACCUGCGGCCCUCCAGGGAGGCCCUGCCGCAGCGGCACCUUGCCCUCCAGCCCUGCAGAGGUGACGGUGGUUCUCUGCCAGAUUCAGGGAAACCCUAUCAGCAGAGGUCCGGGGUGGGGGGGGGGCCACACAGCCUGCACCUCUUCUGACCCCGUCCAGAUGCAUUAGAGUCCCAAGCGUCCCGCGGUUCCCAACGACUAAAUGGGUCCCUGCUGAGUAAGGACACACAACGGCGCCCGCUACAGGAGGAGGAACUUUCCAAGCGUUUACUCAUCGCCUUUUCUUUGCUGAGCACAGAUCCGGAGUCACAAGACAAACCACGUGUCCGCGCGUCCGGAAGCAGAGGGAGGAGCCCGACUUCCCGGGCUUCGUCUGAUCGUGCGCGGAGCACACAAGGUUCCGGGAAGCAGGACCACCGACAGGCACGGGAGGCUCAGCUGAGGGCGUGGACACGGGCCACAGUCUGACAAGUGCUACAAGGGACCGUCCUCAGCUACAGGAGCCCCGUGACUCUGGAGUCGGAGAAGCCUGGGUUUCGGUCGCUUCUCUCUCUCUGCCAGCCUCAGUCUCCCUGUGUGGGCCACGGAACAGCUCCACCGUCCGAGCCGGGCAUCCUGGAGGCGGGUGGCCGCGGGGGUCUGGCUCUGCCGCCCUGCUCAUGUCUGGCGGACACGCCUCAGUCCCCGGCAAGCCUUAGGCCUCCUGCUCCGCGUCCGAAAGGCCGCGGUGACACCGGGACCACACCCCUCCCCCCACCACGUCAGGGCGGAACCCAAGGCGCGGCGCCUCCCCUCCCAUCCAGCGGGAGAAUCUUUCCCAUGAUUCCCCCUGCAGGCAGCCCCUCGCAGUUCGUUGGCCAGGCUUGGGUCACAUGACGGCUUAGACCAAUCACCGGGCAAGUGGCGCAAGAUUGGCACGACGGCUCAGCCAAUCAUAAAAAGCUAUGGGCAGGGUCAAGGCUGCUCCUCUCUGAGGACUUCCAGGCUUCCCACAGGAUGCGCUUCUGGAGCAGAUGUACAGUGGAAAGAAUGUUCCAGAAGUCCCCAUGCCGCCCCAGGGGCAGCUCUGGGACGCACUAGGAGACCUGCCCCAGAACCACCGUGGUUCGCUCCAGCCUGCACACUGUCUCCCCUGGCCUGUGGAGACCGGGUGGGUGCCGUGGUAGCCUCAGCCGCACAAUAGCGGGGUGUGGAAAAUCGGGGUGUGGGCGUGGGAAAUGGGGAGAGACAGACCGCAGGAGAAUCGGAGUCGGGGGGAGAGGAAGGAGCUGGGGACAGGGCGGGACAGGCAGGAGUCAGGCCAAGGCCAGAUGUGCACACGGACUCUCCACGAAGCCAGAUGAGCGUGGAUGAAGAUGCCCACUUGGGCGGGGCUUCCCAGAAGGGUGACAGGGUGGCUGGCCACCCCCAUGCUGGUGUGUGGACGGUGUCACCCUCCUGAUGUCUGCGUCGGAGCCUGGGAUCCAAACAGGAAGCGUGUCAUUGUCAGUCUCGCCACCGCCGGCCCCCUUGCUGCCGCAGUAACACAUCAAGGUCACCUGUCGGAGGCCGAGCACUGAGGCGUCUACUUCUCACCGGUGCCGGGUCCAGCAGGGUCAGUGGGGGUGCCCUCCACGCAGUGACACAGGGGCCCCGGCUGCGUCCGUCUCACCCCGGGGCUCCCAAGGUCGGGCCGGGACCUGCUCCUGACCUCCAGCCCCGCAGUGGCCGCUCGUCUCGGUGCAGACGGUCUGGAGCCCCUUGGCCUGGCUGACGGGACGGGGCUCACUGUCCCGCUCCUCUGUGUGACCUCUCUGGUCACUUCCCCGUCCCAGAAAUGGGUGGUGACGUCACCUCUGUGCUCGGCUGGCGGUGAGGACAGACGCUGGCCCGCGAUCAGCACACGAGAAAUGCUGCCUGUCGUUAUGCUCGACAGCAGGGACGUGGCAACAGAACAGAAGCCCGUCUGCGCGCGUUCGAAGCACCGGAGUGACGUGAGGUUGUCGUUGCCUCCUCGCGGACCAGCCUCACGGUGCGAAGCGGCGGACGGUCGCGGCUCCGCCCCGGCCUGGACCCGCAGCCUGCAGCCCAAGGUCACCAGCGGAGUCUCCUUUCCCACGCGGGGAGCAGCCGUCCUGUCCGGCGCCUCUUCCCUCGGCACCGCGUCCCUGAGCCAGCAUUCCGUCCAAGUGUUGUUGCACCUUCCUUCCUGGACUUGCCUGGGUCACGCACUCAUCCCCGAAUAGGCACGGCGGCCUGAGGGACACAGCGCGCUGUUAACUCAGGCCACGUAACGGGUUGCUUCCCAGCCACGGAUGGAGUCAACUUCGACUUACGUGGGCUGCAGGAACAGGAGCUAAUCUCCAGGGACACACGUGGACCCUCGCCAGCCCAGGGAUCGCGCCUCGGGAUCUACAGAACACGGCUCACGGACUUGUCUUCAUCUUCCCUAGCUCCCCUGGUUGCUGAGGCAGUGGAUUUCAAAGACCCUGCGAUGCCUCGUGGGAGAUUCCAGACUUCAGCAUCAGAAAUGUAUUUGAACGCACCAGUCUCGGUAGCGUAUUUGUCACAAAUGGGGCUAAACCGACCAGCACGGCCAACUUAUAUCUGGGUAAUGAGCCAAGAGUCUGCUCUUCCCGCUGAAAGUGGGAUUUAACUUGGCAUUUCAUCAGAAAGAGGAGAAGAUGCAUGUGUUUUCACAUCUUCUCAUUUCCGACCGUCUGAGCAUCAGUCAGCACCCCAAGUUAUCAAGUCAGAAUGCAGUGGAACUGUUCUGUGAGCUGUGGAGCCACAUUCCUGGUUCGGGUUCCUUGGAGCCCUGAGCAGACGGAUCUCCCGUGGACCCGCCGGAACACGGAGCUGAGAGCCUGCUCCGUGUCAGUGAGGCCACUGUGGCUUUCAGGGCAUUUGACAUCGAGCAUGUGUUUUCGGGGACCCAGAAGAAGAGCCUUCAGGGCUCUUUGAGGAAGGACUUGCAGGAGAAGAAUCCUCCACCCCAAGGGAACACAGCAUCGUGUCUUGCCUGGUGCCUGCACAGCCCCCUGACUGGUCUAGUGGCUUCCACAGAUGUUCCCUCACCCCCUCUGCACUCCUGGGGCAGACUGAAUGAGCUUUUAAAGAAACACAUCUUGUCCUUUGCCCCUUCUGCUGGGGACCUGCACUGCUCCCCUCACACCUGAGAGGAUUCCGGCGUCUGUCUGCAUCCGCCUGCGGGGUCUCUGUUCUCAUGGCUGUUCGUGCCUCAAGAAGCAAACGUGGCAUGUUCCUGAGUCAUAAUACGACACACACACGUCCGUUAGUCACCCAGGAGGCUCAGUUCAUCAAGAGAUUUGGAGGCAGUUGUUGAAGCACGUGUGGACGACUCACCAGGCCCUUGUUGGCGCAUCGGCAGACUGGAAACCCUGCUCGCCCUUUCCACGUGGACCAGUGUCCUCACGCCGGGGCCUGGCCAGGGGCUCGCUCCCCAUGUCUGAGGGCGCCGAGUCCCCGCUGCGGCCCGCUGGCUCAGGGCCCAGCUGGGGUCCGACGGAGGGGGCGGCAGAGUGGGGCUGCAGUGCAGGAGUGCUUCCUGGUGGCGAUGGUGAGGCAGCCUCCUGAGGACGCUGGUGAUGGGGCAGCGUCUCCCCUCCACUCUCCUCUCGUGUCUUCAUCGCUAAGGAUGUUUGAACACGAGUGACCCUGACUGACCCUGGCUGCUUGACGCAGAAGAGGAAACAGCUCGGGUGACCUGGAAGGGCAGUGGGGGCAGGGCUGACCGAAUGCCAUCAGAACGUCCCCUCCCAGCUCUGGUGGCAGCUUCACUGCAGCCGGAUAGAGGGUGCACAGCCGGCUGGGUCCCUGGUGGCAGGAGUCCCCUCCAGGGGGCUGGUGCCCUUGGUGAAAAUCAGGGCGCAAUGAGCCAGGAGGUGGGUCUGGAGAUGCGGGUGCAAGUUCUCCUGAG